rnacentral:sRNA from 1 species
AUUUUGUUUUUAAGAAAACGCACACUGUUUAAUAACGUUUUGUACUGGGUGCUAGGUUUUAAAGCUAAAACUUGGUUGUACAAGCGAAACAGUGGAGGCACAAC